rnacentral:rRNA from 1 species
UGGGGAAUAUUGGACAAUGGGCGCAAGCUGAUCCAGCAAUGCCGCGUGUGUGAAGAAGGCCUUCGGGUUGUAAAGCACUUUAAGCUGGGAAGCGGUACCAGAAGAAUAAGCACCGGCUAACUCUGUGCCAGCAUCCGCGGAAAUACAGAGGGUGCGAGCGUUAGUCGGAUUUACUGGGCGUAAAGCGUGUGUAGGUGGUUGUUCAAGUCGGUUGUGAAAUCCCCGGGCUCAACCUGGGAACUGCUUCCGAGACUGAGCGACUAGAGUACGGUAGAGGGCGGUGGAAUUUCCGGUGUAGCGGUGAAAUGCGUAGAUAUCGGAAGGAACACCAAUGGCGAAGGCAGCCGCCUGGGCCUGUACUGACACUGAGACACGAAAGCGUGGGGAGCAAACAGGAUUAGAUACCCGGGUAGU